AAGGAUGGCCACAUGUUCCUUAAGGGAAGAAUCCAGCUUACAAAUAAGGAAUACUGCAGCAGAAAAGGAGGAGGAAUUUCUUUUGUCAGUCAGUUAUUGUUGGGGAUAGCUUGAGCUAGUUCGGGAGUAUUCUCCUAGAUAUCUUUUCUAUCCUCUUUAUUUUCUUUUCUUCAUUGUUUUAGGAGUAUUUAAAAGUUGUUGAGAGGUUACCGUCUA
rnacentral:misc_RNA from 1 species